GGGCAAUAUAUUUAACCUUAGGUGCAUUUUUAACCACAAACGAUGCAAACGGCUACGUGCGCACAUGAUUUGAUCAUUUGUUUCUAACAUACGUUUGUAAAGUUUAAAUAAACUUUGACAAACUAUACAUUCGCUAAAAAUGCGUCUACAGUUUGUCGUUCAUCGUUUGUUAGAACAAACGCUACAUUUUUUUCUAACUUCACCCUGAUUAAACGAUGUAUUUGUUUCUACGUUUGAAAAAAGUCUGUUUACCAACAACAAGUGCAUGCAUUAUUGAAAGUUCAAACAGGGUCAGUAAACACUGAUUAAACGAAGUCGAUGUAUUUGUUUCUACUUUUGUAGCGUUAUAGAAAACAACAACAGACGCCACACAAAGUUUACAAAUUUUGGGUAGAAGGAAAUGCACUCUAAGUAUCAUAUCGAAAAACACCAAAGAGUUCGAACAUGUAACAAAAAUUUCAGAAUCUCACCUAAGUACAUCCUUCAAUCAAUUAUCUAUCUACGUAUUUUUCGCACUAAAAAGAGAGGGAUGUUCCUGCUUGUCAUAACCCAAAACAUAUAAUUACUAAAAUUUAGGUAUUACCCUCCUUUUUUUUCUUUGAAGUUAAUUUCAAUAAAAAGGCUUUAUAAUUACUGUCUUUAUACAUUCAUCUGAUGAAGAUGAAGAACUACCAAUAAAAUUAAAUAUGCAUGAUAGAGGAGCAAUGUCCUCUGUGUGUAUAAAUUCUUCUUCAAAGGCUAUUUCCCCCGUAUAAUACGUUUAAAUACCAACAACAUGUGCAUGCGUUUUUUACAGUUCAAACAGGGCCAGUACACCGAUUAAACGAUGAUCGUGUUUCUACUUUUGUAUUGUUCAACAAACUAUAAUUACAAACGUCACACAACGUUUAACAAACUUUGGUUAGAAAAUGCACUCUAAAUAACUUACUUUGAAUUUAUUCCUGUUAGAAGAUAUUCAGAUUAAAACAAAUUAAAAACUAAAGAUGUAUAUAUACACCUGGAUUGACGCAAAUUGAUUACGCAAAUGUAUGUGUUUAUACAACGAGCAAGAUCUAGAACAAAAGAAUACUUCAAAAGUUCAUGGUCAUAAUAAAAAUAAGUUCCGUAAACAAACUGAUUUUUGUUUUACUUUCGAUAUAAAUGUUAGGCAUACUAGUAAAGAUAUAAACUGAGAUGUAAAGGGUGUGUAAACUAGAUAGCAACCGCAAAAACUUCAUGCAGACCAAACACACAAUGACAUGAUAGUUAUAAGGACAUCUGACCAUUCGUCAUUCUAAUGAUAACUUUUCAUCUCGAUCAGUGAAACUAAAACAGACACAUACAUGACAUACUAUUAGGUACACUAACACAAUAAGUUCAAAAUGUAUUUAAAUCUAUAAGGGUUGAGUUUGCAAAAUAGAAAACAUUUGGCAAACAAUAAAGAGAAGACAAGAAUCGAAUCGAAAAAGAACAUAAUAAGGUGCUAAAAUAUAAAGAAUAAAGAAUAAGGGAGAAAGGUGAAGUAUAGAGAAAAAAAUGGCAUUAUAAUUUAAGAACACAAAAAUGAAGAUCCAGACCCUCAUUUGGACCCUUGUUCAUGUAUGGAAAUACCCAGCUACAACGAGACAACAAAAUUUUCAAAGUAACUGAAAUAAAGCCGAAACAUCUCAACCUGUCGACAUGCUAAUCAUGCAAUUCCUUUUUCCAAAAUCUAUAGUGUUAAAAUAAAGGGCCGUGUAUGUAUGUCAAUAAGACAACUAUCAACUAGAGACCAAAUGAUGUACGCGGUUGUAAGCACCCAUAUGUAAUCAUACGGCCUUCAAUAAUCAGCAAAAUCUAUUCUAUAUUGUAACCUUGACCUUGGUCAGGCCUAUACUGAAACGUUAUUAGAUCCUAGCAUAUGUUGAUAUUUUCAUUUUUUAAUUCGGACAUAUUGGUUAUACAAAAAAAA
rnacentral:lncRNA from 1 species